rnacentral:rRNA from 1 species
UGCAAGUCGAACGAAGGCUUCGGCCUUAGUGGCGCACGGGUGCGUAACGCGUGGGAAUCUGCCCUGGGGUACGGAAUAACUCAGAGAAAUUUGAGCUAAUACCGUAUGAUGACGUUAAGUCCAAAGAUUUAUCGCCCUGGGAUGAGCCCGCGUAGGAUUAGCUAGUUGGUGGGGUAAAGGCCUACCAAGGCGACGAUCCUUAGCUGGUCUGAGAGGAUGAUCA